ensembl:snRNA U6 U6 spliceosomal RNA
UUGUUUCCUUUCCAAUAAGAAAAACUACACUGGAAUGAUACAGAGAAGAUUAGCAUGGCCCCUGCACAAGGCUGACACAAAAAUUAAUGAAGUGUUCCAUGUUAAA